rnacentral:rRNA from 1 species
UCGAGAAUCUUUCGCAAUGGGCGCAAGCCUGACGAAGCGACGCCGUGUGAGCGAAGAAGGCCUUCGGGUUGUAAAGCUCUUUCGCUAGGGAACAAGAGAGACGUAGUAAUAUUGCGUCAAUUUGAUGGUACUUGGUAAAGAAGCACCGGCUAACUCCGUGCCAGCAGCUGCGGUAAUACGGAGGGUGCAAGCAUUGAUCGGAAUUACUGGGCGUAAAGGGCGCGCAGGCGGUUAGGAAAGUCAGAUGUGAAAUUCCGGGGCUCAACCCCGGAGCUGCAUUUGAAACUUCCUUUCUAGAGUUUAGUUAGGGAAAUCGGAAUUCCACGUGUAGCGGUGAAAUGCGUAGAUAUGUGGAAGAACACCAGUGGUGAAGACGGAUUUCUGGGCUAUAACUGACGCUGAGGCGCGAAAGCAUGGGGAGCAAACAGG